rnacentral:rRNA from 1 species
UACGAAGGGGGCUAGCGUUGUUCGGAAUUACUGGGCGUAAAGCGUACGUAGGCGGCUUUGUAAGUUAGAGGUGAAAGCCCGGGGCUCAACCCCGGAAUUGCCUUUAAGACUGCAUCGCUUGAAUCCGGGAGAGGUGAGUGGAAUUCCGAGUGUAGAGGUGAAAUUCGUAGAUAUUCGGAAGAACACCAGUGGCGAAGGCGGCUCACUGGACCGGCAUUGACGCUGAGGUGCGAAAGCGUGGGGAGCAAACAGG